CUCUCUGUUACAGCUAUGGGAUUGGGUAAUUUUUUUUAUUAAGAAUUGCACUGCUUUGAGUGUGUCCUUGUUAUUAAAGAUAGGGAGCAGUAUUACGAAAUAUGAGGUGUGGUUUUCAGGGUCAUAUUUUUUGUACAACACCGAAGCGUGUUCAGCUCAUGCUGUGACGGAGUUGAUGCCGGGAGUACAGGGAGAUGGAGCCUGUGUGUUCGUAUUCUGAUUUGAAGCUCAUGAAAGAUUUUUUUUAAAUGUUUACCCUUUAUAUAUAAAAUAUGUUUUAUGUAUUUAUGUGUGCACACAUAUGCGUAAAAAGCACAAGAAUUUCUGUGUAGAUAAAAGUAUAUAAAACUUUACAAAAAUUUGCCCUCACUCCUCUUCUCUGGCCACAGUUCACACUAUUCCCCUGUCUUUUCCAAAACUAAUGUUACCAUUUGGGCCUCCUUCCCCUCCUUUGCUCAUCGUGUUCUCCUACCUACCAUUUCUUGGUUGUGUCUCUUCUGCAGAACCUCCCUCUCACCUGUCCUAGAGAAGUCCUCCCUCCCAUACUUGCCAUUACCACAGUAUUACUUGGCACCUAGCUGCCACUGUGCUGUGUCUUAGAAAGAGACUCCCCCAGGCCAAAAGCUAUGUUUUAGGCUUCUUUGUAUCUUCAGUGCACAGCACAGAGGGACAUCAACCCUACCAAAAAGUCUUGUUAGAGCUCUUCUCUGUGAAGCAUUCAAUCAUGAGCACCUUACUACAAAUGAGAAAUGCCCGCGCCCAGGGUCUAAUUGAACAAGAACUACCCAAGGCAUGUAUUGAGAAACUGAUCACUAUACUCAAAGCCAUUUCAGUUGGGCUGGACUGGGGUUCUAGAAGCUGUCAUUUUAUACGAGUACCUCAGUGGUUCUGAAAUAGCCACCCCAGGAGGAUGCUCUUUCCCUGCUUUUGCCUACUGGGAACCCAUUCUUGGCUGCAUUACUCAGAAAAGGUUAAACCAAUUGGAGUUUGUCAAUGUGUCAUUAAGAAUUCUUGGACUGGGGUUGUGGCUCAGUGGUAGAGCACUUGCCUAGCAUGCAUGAGGCACUGGGUUCAAUUUUCAGCACCACAUCUAAAUAAGUAAAUAAAAUAAAGGUCCAUCAACAACUAAUAAAAAUAUAAAAACAAACAAACAAAAAAAGACUUCUUUAAGUCAGGAUCCCUAGGGGGCUAAGGUGAUGGGGAGAAGGAAGGAAGAGACUCACACUGUACCAUGACAGUUUAGUUAUCACUUGAGGAAUGAUUGCAAAUAUCCAUAACUUGAAAGUAAUACUGCAAUUAAGGUAAUUUAUUUUAAUACCUAUUUUUACUUCUAAUUGGUACAUAAUAAUUGUACAUAUUUAGGGGUACAGUGUAUUAAGAUCUGAUCAGGGUAACUAGCAUAUCCAUCACCUCAAACAUUUGUCAUUUCUUUGUGUUGGGAGCAUUCAGAAUCCUCUCUACGAGCUCAUUAGAGAUAUACAAUUAACCGUUGUCAACAUAGUUACCCUACUGUGCUAUAGAACAUUAGAAGUUAUUCCUUCUAGCCAACUGCAUUGAGUAAUAAUUUUUAAUUCUUCUCCACUACGAAACUCAUUCAGUCAAAGUACAACUGUUGUCAGUUGAUUGCUGUGGACAUUUGUUCCUCCUCUAGUACUUUGUGCAGAAUGCCCAGAGCUACUGACUUUUUAACCUGCUAUGCCUUUGUACUCUUUAAGUCUGAACACCCUGUCCUUGUCCUUUAACCUGGAUUCUCUAAUAGGUUCAGCCCUCUGCUUCUUUUGAAUUUCCUGCUGAAUCAUGGCAGAGGAAGGAGUUUCGUUGUUGUUGGUGGUGGUGGUGGUAGUGAGGAUUGAAGCCCAAGGUGCAUUACACCGAGCCACAUCCCCGGCCCUUUUUAUUUUUUAUUUUGAGACAAGGUCUUGCUAAGCCACUAAGUUACUUAGGGUUAUGUUAAGUUGCUGAGGCUGGCCUUGAACUUGCAAUCCUCCUGCCUCAGCCUCCAGAGUCACUGGGAUUACAGGUAUGCACCACCAUACCUGGCAGAAGGAGCAUUUUUAAGCACCACUGAUUGUUGAAAAGAAUCCUCUCUAAGCCACACUGGAAACUGAUCUCCCAGCGUGGCUUCCAGAACCUACCUGAGGUACACCUUCCAUCCUCCUCCCCUGCCUUGCAGAUGCUCAGGGAUCCAAUUCAGCCUUUUUAUAUCUAAAAGUUCAUGUGGCCUUUGCAAGCAGUGAAGAAAUAUUUGCCAGUGUAGAUAGGCUUUUUCAAAUUGCCUCCUCACAGUGUUUUAAUUCUCAACAAGAAAUCUGUAAUACAGGUGGAGCAGAGAUAACCAUUCCUCCUGGAGGGAAACCCAGUCUUUUCCCUGCCCACCUGCCACCUUCCCACCUACCUCAUCUCCCCUCGACACAUGUCACUUUUUGAAAGUCUCAGACCUAGUACAUAUAACCAGGCCAGGAACAUGUGCCCCCUCGUUUGCUAGGGGAUAUAAGUCCUACCUGCAAAUGUUACUUGUGACAAAGGCAUAUUACCAACACUGAUGUUAAAGGAGUCUUAGCCAAGCACAGGGAGUGGGGUGAAAACAAAGCAAAUUGCAUGCAAUAAAGGGGGGGUGACCUUGGUGAUUUAGGUAUAAAGCUGUUAAUAUAUUUAUAAGCUCACAAAAAAUCUGGGAUAGCAGGAGGAAGUGAAAUUCACAGGCCAGCCCUGGUCUCAUUUAAUCCACGGUUUCAGUUUCCUCGGUUGAAUUAGAAGUAGUUUUGAAAGGUGUUCAAUGGUAUCUUUCUCCCGCUGCCACUCCCACAUUUUUCUCUCUUCCUUCUCUUCGAUUAAGCUGUAUUAAUCAACACAGGAGUCCUUCACUGGCUCUCUGCAAGACACUUCUCAUCUAUUCUUCCUUUGCAGGGAAGAAAAUCAAGGCUGGGGAGGUGACUGAAUCACCUAGAGCCAUAUGACUGGCAAGGGGCCAAAUUUGGGCAGGCAGAUCAGAUCUGUCUCCGUCCUCAUAUUACAGAAAAAUACUGUCCAUGAAAGGGACGUCACCGGGAGUGAGAAAAGAGGCCAGGGGUUUAGCAACCUGCUCUUGAUUUCAGGUUGGCCGAGGAGAGUUUGAGCCUUGAUAUUUCUCACAGCCUUAAGGAGGAUUUGUUGACCCCACUCUCUGGGCACAGAGAUGAUUUUAUCAGAAAGGGCAGACAGACAGCGUGAGCCCUCCAGUGCUCUGGUCACUACUGACAAGUGCUGCAGACCCUUCCCUCCCCCUGCUGGUCAUCCCAUUGGUGCUGCCCUGCCAGGGCGCCCACCUAGGCCAUUUCCUGUAGAUUGUAAGGUUUUCAAAAACAACCAGGUCACAGUACAUUUUGCUUCAGGCCUGAAAUAGAACUACAACCCAAGGACCUGAAGGAAAACAUCUUUUGGCAAAACAAACAAACAAAGCCCAUUCUACCUCGUGGUUCUGCCAGCCCAUGUCUUCUCCCAGAAAUCAUCUGGAUAUAGGUUCAUACACAGAGGUGAUUAAAGAUGGUCCUAGCCCCCAUACUUGGGUUUUACUUACUCUCACCUUCAAUCAUUUGGUGGGCAGAAAGAAUGACCUUUAAACUGGUUUGCACCACGAAAGCAGGAAGCCGGAAGCUCUGACAGGACACUAUUCUGUUGAGGUCAAAGUGGGCAGGAUCAUGUCUUGAGUUUGACUGCAUGACCACUAACUGGGUCCCCAGACCAUAGUAGGUGUUCAGUGAAGUUCAGGGAAUGUUGGUCUAUGGAAAUUUAGAUAUCCAUGCAUGACCUGCCACCAGGAAGCCAAGACUGAAGCGCCCCCCCCCCCAGUCAGCCCUCCCUUGCGACACCCUAACCAGUAGCACAAACGAAGAUCGAGCACACUUAUUAGAAAACUGGA
rnacentral:lncRNA from 1 species